rnacentral:rRNA from 1 species
GAUGAACGCUGGCGGCGUGCCUAAUACAUGCAAGUCGAGCGAACAGAUGAGGAGCUUGCUCCUCUGACGUUAGCGGCGGACGGGUGAGUAACACGUGGAUAACCUACCUAUAAGACUGGGAUAACUACGGGAAACCGGAGCUAAUACCGGAUAAUAUAUUGAACCGCAUGGUUCAAUAGUGAAAGACGGUUUUGCUGUCACUUAUAGAUGGAUCCGCGCCGCAUUAGCUAGUUGGUAAGGUAACGGCUUACCAAGGCAACGAUGCGUAGCCGACCUGAGAGGGUGAUCGGCCACCCUGGAACUGAGACACGGUCCAGACUCCUACGGGAGGCAGCAGUAGGGAAUCUUCCGCAAUGGGCGAAAGCCUGACGGAGCAACGCCGCGUGAGUGAUGAAGGUCUUCGGAUCGUAAAACUCUGUUAUUAGGGAAGAACAAAUGUGUAAGUAACUAUGCACGUCUUGACGGUACCUAAUCAGAAAGCCACGGCUAACUACGUG